GAUGAACACUGGCGGCGUGCUUAACACAUGCAAGUCGAACGGUGAAGGCGGAGCUUGCUCUGCUGGAUCAGUGGCGAACGGGUGAGUAACACGUGAGCAAUCUGCCCCUGACUCUGGGAUAAGCGCUGGAAACGGCGUCUAAUACUGGAUACGAGCUGCGAAGGCAUCUUCAGCAGCUGGAAAGAAUUUCGGUCAGGGAUGAGCUCGCGGCCUAUCAGCUUGUUGGUGAGGUAAUGGCUCACCAAGGCGUCGACGGGUAGCCGGCCUGAGAGGGUGACCGGCCACACUGGGACUGAGACACGGCCCAGACUCCUACGGGAGGCAGCAGUGGGGAAUAUUGCACAAUGGGCGAAGGCCUGAUGCAGCAACGCCGCGUGAGGGACGACGGCCUUCGGGUUGUAAACCUCUUUUAGCAGGGAAGAAGCGAAAGUGACGGUACCUGCAGAAAAAGCGCCGGCUAACUACGUG
rnacentral:rRNA from 1 species